rnacentral:rRNA from 1 species
CAAGGAAUUUUCCCCAAUGGCCGAAAGGCUGAGGGAGCAACGUCGCGUGCAGGAUGACGGCCCUCGGGUUGUAAACUGCUUUUGGGCGGGAAGAUGAUGACGGUACCGCCCGAAUAAGCCCCGGCUAACUCCGUGCCAGCAGCCGCGGUAAGACGGAGGGGGCAAGCGUUGUCCGGAAUCACUGGGCGUAAAGGGCGCGUAGGUGGCUGCGUGCGUCGGUGCUGAAAGCGCCGGGCUUAACCCGGCGAGGCGUGCCGAUACGACGCGGCUUGAGGCAGGGAGAGGGUAGCGGAAUUCCGGGUGUAGUGGUGAAAUGCGUAGAGAUCCGGAGGAACGCCAGAGACGAAGGUGGCUACCUGGCCCUGACCUGACACUGAGGCGCGAAAGCGUGGGGAGCGAA